GCUUACUGCCACACCGCCUGGUUCACGCACGAUCUCGUUUGAUCUCGGAAGAUAAGAUAGGGUGGGCCUGGUUAGUACUUGGAUGGGAGACCGCCUGGGAAUACCAGGUGCUGUAAGCU
rnacentral:rRNA from 1 species